UGCGUGAAAGUGAGCUCAGAUGUAACCUAAACCCAUGGAGCUUGGAAAAAGAAGCAUCUGCCGAGAGGAGCAGGGUUGGUCUUGAUUUGCUUUCAGGGAGUUGCCGCAGAGCUACUUAUACUUUGUCUAAGAAACAUUUAUUUUACAACCCAUGGAGCAGUGCUGGAGAUGUAACUAUUUCUUGAUUGAUGCCUGUGGCACAGCAUCAUCUGCAGAGACCUGCAUUAUGUGAA
rnacentral:lncRNA from 1 species